rnacentral:lncRNA from 1 species
UGGUUACUUGUUAGAUUAGUACAGGACACCAAGCAAUAUAGGAAGAAUAUAAAAACUUAUCAUUCUCUGCCCCUCACAUUUCGUCUGAAGGUAAGAAAGAAAAAAAUAGACCAGCCUUACCCAUUCCAUAUCUAUCUGUUCGAAAAGAAGGAAAGGUGAAGGAAAAUUUUGUUAACUCCCAAACCUUCACCAAACUCUUAGUUUCGGUUGGAACCAAUACAAGCAUUAGGAAAUUGAAAUUUCAAGCUAAUUUGAGGAGAAAUGAAACGCAACAGCAGGAAGAAGAUGAACUACAAUUAUCAAGCAAACAAGAAUCCAAAUAGGAACAUCAAACAAGAGGUAAAUCAAUUUCUAUUUGUCAAUUCGUGGGAAUUAGAGUAAGAUUUUAUUGUGCAUUGCUUUGUUCGAUUGCGGAAUUAUAUGAUGAUGGGAGUGUAUCCUCUAUGGAGUAAUAAAGAUGAAAAAAUUUGGGCUUGACCAUGCUCUAACAUUUAUGAAUCCUGUCCUUAAAACUAACGUGCAUAAAAUGUUUGAUUAAUUGUCUAUAAGAGACUGUUAUGCUCAAAUCGAGCAAUUUAAAGGAAGAAAUUAGUAAGAAUUCCUUCUACCCGAUUUAUGAAAUAAUUCAAGUGAAGUGGGUAAGAUAAAUUGAGUCUAAAAACUAAUAUGAAGCAAAAAUUAAGAAUCUAGCCUAGUUGAGAAUUUGACCGACAUGCUAUUUUUGAGGCUGUGUAAAAUGUGUUUGUAAAGUCUGUUUUGGUUGGGUAAUAUUUUUUUAAAAAUAUUAUGCCAUGUCAAGUAGAACAUAUUAAAAAUUGGUUACGUUUGGACUUACGGUUUAGAAGUUAUUAAUUUGAAAAGUAGGCAGUUUGGCUAUGGUGCUGAAAAUGGGCAGCAGCAGCUGCUGUGCGCUGCGCUGUGCUGCUGCGAAUGUUCGGGCUGAGCUGUUUUGGCUUCUGUUAAAUUCACUUAGAAUGCCUGAAUUCACUAAGUUAUAAUUUGUAAAAAUACUAUGAUAUACCCUUUAUAACAUGCUAAAUUUUGGUUUCCAUUGGACUUGUGGGUUGCGAACUAGAAAAUAGAAAAGGUGACCAGAGAGCGUGGUUUGAUUGCUGCAGUAGUUCGCCUGCUAUGGCUGUUUCGGUUGAGUUGUUGUGCUCUAUUUGGGACUGUUUUUGAAAACAAUGCACACCUAGUGUUUGACAAAAGUCUUAUAUGGACUGUUUUACUUAAAAACCAAGAAUUUGGGAAAGCCAAAGUUAAGAUUUCAUGUAUAAACAUCUUAUACAGUUAGUUAAAAGUUUUGAAGGAAUCAAACUAGAACGAAAAAUGAUUUAAAGCUAAAACGAGAAAUCAAAAGUUAAUUUAUCGGGCUACUUUUGGGCUAACUGUUUAGGCUAGUUAGACUUUUCAGAAAAUUAUAAUUUUUUGGGUUCUUGUAGUGUACCGUCCCAGCUAUUCGUAGCCUCCGAAACGGACUAAUUCCGACUUCGGAGGAGGGAGCUAUGGCAUACUAAAGUGGCUGUGGCGAAUCUGUCCAAAAUCUGGAAAUCAGAUUCUGACCAGCCCCUUGCACAGAUUUUCUGGAAUUAUGGGUGCAGAAUUUGGAAAAGGUUAUGGAAUAAGAGUUGUAGCCCUGGAAGUUAGCUUCGCGUGGGCGCUAGAAUCACUCAAAAAUGUUUUCAAACGAAUUAGUUAUGACUGCUUUAGCUAGAGAGGGUAAAGCUGAGAAAAAAUUAAAAACAGUUAUGAUUGGGCAUUUUUAAGUUCUGUCUUGGGCUGCCUAUGAUGUCUAAAAUGGGUGACUUAUAUUUUUUAAAUAUAUUCUCUUAUGGUGUUUAUAGCAUAUCCAAAAGUGGGGGAAAACUAACUUAAGAAUUAAAAAUUACAAAAUCGCAUAGUGGCCUCGUUGCGAAGAGGACUGCUGCCCAGGGCAGCAGUGUGCAUCAGCAACGAACUGCAGUGGCAGUGGUUGAAGUCUCCUUUGAGCUCUCAGUUGACGCAUUUAAACUAUUCAAAAUGUUAGUUUUUUUCCAAAAUGGGUGGGUAUACAACCUAUAUUUUAUUCAAAACCCAUUGGUUGGCAUAAAUAAGUUAUGCAUUAAUAUAAGAUAUACAAAUAACAUAUGUUUAUCUACAUGCUAAGAGAACAAGACAUGAUUUUUCAUUACAGGCAAGGCGUAUAUACAAAAGCAUAUAUACACCUCAUGUAUACCUGAAAUGGGGAAAAGUAAUGUUAUGUGAUAGUAUUAUUCGUGCAAAACGAAGUCCAAGUUACUCGCGAAAACGGAAUUAAGCUAUGAAUGCAUGCAUAAAGAAAAACACAAGUGCACUAUAUGAUUAUAAAUUUACAUAUAUAUGAAUAUUAAGCCUAUAAAUGGAAGGUAAUGGCAUUCCAAAAACUAUAUUGGAACCUGUUGUGCGAAAUAUGAUUAUAUAUUAAGCUAAAACUUAAAAUAUUUGAAAAAGAAUAUGGAAGUUCCUGGAAAUGAGAAUAUAAGUUAUUGAUAUAACGUAUAUGAAUGUUUAAUAUCUAUACAGAAGUAUGUGGCUAAUGUAUGCCUACAACAUAAUUGUGUAGGACUCGUGAUGCGAAGUUAAACUAGCUAAAGUUUGUAUCAAUGGUCAUUGAACGAGGCAAGUUUUUCAGUUCUGUUAUGUUUGUGGAUGGAAUGUGGUUAUGUGCUAAAUUACAUAUCAUGCUCUAUGAAUUGUUAAAGUCAAAAUAUGACUCAGUUAAUUGGGUUAUGGAACUCAAUUUAUAUGUGAUUUAUGAUAACACAUGUUGUAUGAUGUAACUCGAUAAAUUAAAAAUGUAUAAUGCAUGAAUGUAUGCUUUGUAAGGAAUUAUUGAUGCAUGUAGGAUAUGCAUAGUAAAGAAUAUAUGUUGCAUGCGGAUAUGCAUAUUAAGGGUAAUGUAGUGCAUAUGGAAUUGUGUGCUAUGUGAAACAUGAUAGACUGUUAAAUUUGCUGGGCUGUCGAGCUCAAUCUUGCAAACACAAACUUUUUGCAGGUUAAUGACGUUAUGCAAUAUUAUUUUUGUUUUGCGGAUGAUGAAGGAUGAAUGAUGGACGAAAUAAAUACAUUUCUUUGAAUUAGAAAUG